rnacentral:tRNA from 1 species
GACGUGGCUCAGCGGUAGAGCAUCGCCUUGCCAAGGCGAGGGUCGCGGGUUCGAUUCCCGUCGUCCG